rnacentral:rRNA from 1 species
CGUGUAGGCGGCUUGGUAAGUCAGAUGUGAAAGCCCAGGGCUCAACCCUGGAAGUGCAUUUGAUACUGCCAUGCUUGAGUAUGGGAGAGGAGAGCGGAAUUCCCAGUGUAGAGGUGAAAUUCGUAGAUAUUGGGAGGAACACCCGUGGCGAAGGCGGCUCUCUGGACCAAUACUGACGCUGAGACGCGAAAGCGUGGGGAGCAAACAGGGUUAGAUACCCUGGUAGUCC